rnacentral:rRNA from 1 species
ACGGCCGUACCAUGCUGAAUAUACCGGUUCUCGUUAGAUCACCGAAGUCAAGCAGCAUUGGGCGCGGUCAGUACUUGGGAGGGUGACCACCUGGGAACACCGCGUGCCGUU